rnacentral:tRNA from 1 species
CAAGGAAUAGUUUAAAUGAGAAUGUCAGCUUUGGGUGUUGAUGGUGGGAAAGGUUUCUCUUCCUUGA